rnacentral:rRNA from 1 species
CCUACGGGGCGCAGCAGUGAGGAAUAUUGGUCAAUGGACGAGCGUCUGAACCAGCCAAGUAGCGUGAAGGAUGACUGCCCUAUGGGUUGUAAACUUCUUUUAUAUGGGAAUAAAAUGUUCCACGUGUGGGAUUUUGUAUGUACCAUAUGAAUAAGGAUCGGCUAACUCCGUGCCAGCAGCCGCGGUAAUACGGAGGAUCCGAGCGUUAUCCGGAUUUAUUGGGUUUAAAGGGAGCGUAGGUGGAUUUGUAAGUCAGUUGUGAAAGUUUGCGGCUCAACCGUAAAAUUGCAGUUGAAACUGGCAGUCUUGAGUACAGUAGAGGUGGGCGGAAUGCGUGGUGUAGCGGUGAAAUGCUUAGAUAUCACGAAGAACUCCGAUUGCGAAGGCAGUUCACUGGACUGCAACUGACACUGAGGCUCGAAAGUGUGGGUAUCAAACAGGAUUAGAUACCCCUGUAGUC